GUACGAACACAUUGAUAUGGAUAUUUCAACUUUGUUUCUUCUGUUACUUACGGUUAUACGAGUGAAGUGAAAACGCUGAGAACACCAUACUGUCGAACCAGCACGUUGCAGACAUUAUAUUUCAAGUCAUCAUCGUCAAGCUUUGGAACCACAUCAUUCUCGCUGCUCCUCCGAAUAGCUUUUCAAGUUUAUCGCUGUUCAAAAAGUUCAUAAAGGACUUGUUUAAAUUGGACGUGGACUCUUGUACGUGGAUGCUAUUGUCAUAGGUAAUCAAGUAAACUUUGAUAUAGAGCGUUCAAAUAAAGGCGAGUGAUGAUGUUUCGUAACAA